rnacentral:rRNA from 1 species
AUUGAACGCUGGCGGCAUGCCUUACACAUGCAAGUCGAACGAUUAAAGCUCUCUUCGGAGAGUGUAUAGAGUGGCGCACGGGUGAGUAACACGUAAGUAAUCUACCCUCGAGUGGGGAAUAACAACCGGAAACGGUUGCUAAUACCGCAUAAUGCAGCGGCACCGCAAGGUGACAGUUGUUAAAGAUUUAUCGCUUGAGGAGGAGCUUGCGGCAGAUUAGCUAGUUGGUGAGGUAAAGGCUCACCAAGGCGACGAUCUGUAGCGGGUCUGAGAGGAUGAUCCGCCACACUGGAACUGAGACACGGUCCAGACUCCUACGGGAGGCAGC